rnacentral:misc_RNA from 1 species
GAUGAAGAACGUAGCGAAAUGCGAUAAGUAGUGUGAAUUGCAGAAUUCAGUGAAUCAUCGAAUCUUUGAACGCACAUUGCGCCCCUUGGUAUUCCAUGGGGCAUGCCUGUUCGAGCGUCAUUUGUACCUUCAAGCUCUGCUUGGUGUUGGGUGUUUGUCUCGCCUCUGCGUGUAGACUCGCCUCAAAACAAUUGGCAGCCGGCGUAUUGAUUUCGGAGCGCAGUACAUCUCGCGCUUUGCACUCAUAACGACGACGUCCAAAAGUACAUUUUUACACCCUUGACCUCGGAUCAGGUAGGGAUACCCGCUGAACUUAAGCAUAUCAAUAAGCGGAGGA